rnacentral:lncRNA from 1 species
CUUUCCGAAGUCACCAAGAAGAGUCUGACCCUGAACAGCGCAGUCAAUCGCCUUCAAACUUUUCCUUGCAUCUUGGGAUCAAAACAAGAGUUUAAAGAAACUUUUCCUACGUGGAGUCCAACUCCUGAAAGUGACCUUUGCGGGAGGCUGGCUGGGAUCAGAGGGCAGGAAGGCUCGGGAGAAGAGGAAACCUGGAGCACCCGCAAGGAGGCUGGAAGGCGGCUAUUGGAAGGAACUCGUGCGGCUGUUGUUGUGGGAUGAGAAGCCGCCAGGCGCCGGCCGCGGUCCCUGUGUGUUUGACAACAACCUCUCCUGGUCCUGCCGGGGCAGUGUGCGGGAGAGCUCUGCCAGCGACAAGGUAAUUCCUCCUUUUCUCUUUCUCCUCGCCUGUAGACGGCCGAGCCCUGAACGUGACAGACUCGCACAACUUCUUCUUCUCCUUGUUCGGGUCUCUUUGCAAAUGAAUGAGCGCAGCCCGUGGACUCUCUCCGGACGCUUUGAUUUCCGGCGCUUGGCUAAUGCAAAGCGGGGUAAACAGGCAGUGGUCCCUUCUCGACUUUCCUUUCCCCCUUCCCUAGCUGCAGUGGGCUCCGGAUCAGACCCUCAACCCAGCACAUCCCAACCCUCAGCGGGCCCAAUCCAGCCCCGGGGGGACCUCCAGGGAGGUCUGGCUCACCCAGGACUGUCCUGGUCUUAAAAGGAACAAGGAUCUGUCCAGUUGCACUGGGGUCAGAGCCAGGUCCGUGCCGUGCUGGGCUGGGGGGUGAGUUUGCAGUGUGUGAAGCGCAGUGGCUUUUCUCCUGAACUCCAGGCAGACAGGGGAAGGGUGAGGGUGUUGGCAGGUUAUGAACCGACUGCCUUUUGCUUUAAGCAUGCCGGAUUCUCUCUCCUUCUUUUCCUUUUAAAGAGAUUAGGGGGUCAAUAGAAAUCUAUGUUCAGGGGCAUGGUUAAUAUACUUUGCACACAUGUGACGAUAUGAAAGUGAUCGUAUGACGCUUAAAAAGGAGUUUAAACCCAUCAACGGGACAGCCACACACAGUCACAUGAAUAGGCCCUAUGCCACAGUCCUUACUCACUCCAGCAGACUUUACUCGCCUGAGUAAUCCCAUAAGAAAUGACUUGGGUUUGUGAAGGUUGUGAAAUCAGACUCGUUCAUUGUGGCUGUACACAGAUAUUGAUCACAAAUUCUGUAACGUUAAAGGAACCAACCUUGCAAAUGAAUUGAUUUCCUCUGCACUCCAACAGAUUAUACAUAAUACAUUAUGCCACUCUUUUGAGCAAAUACCUGCAAGAGAAAGAGGUCUUUUAAAAAGUAUAC